GAAGGAAGGUAGGGUCUUGGGACCUUUUGAUGAGCCACCGGGAAAUGUCAAAGGGUCUUAGACACAUUUAGAGAACUUGCGGCAGAAAUGGGACUGCCAUUAGCGGAAGAAAAGACAGAGGGACCGGCAACAACCCUUACUUUCCUGGGAAUCGAAUUGGACACAAUGCACCAGACUUCCCGGUUGCCUCAAGAGAAAUUAGAGAACAUUAGGAACAUUAUACGUAGUUUGAGGGGUAGAAAGAAGGUUACGCUAAAGGAGUUACAAGAAGUGGUGGGACAUUUGAAUUUUGCUUGUAAAGUAGUAGCCCCUGGACGAGCCUUUGUGAGGCGACUUUGCAGUGCCAUGUCAGGGCUACGGAAACCAUUUCAUAAGACUAGGGUGACAAGAGGUAUGCGGGAAGACUUAGGGGUUUGGGAGCUGUUUUUAGAGCAAUUUAAUGGGGUAUCAUUUUGGAGAUCUGAAAUUAGUUUAAAGACAGAGGUUCAAGUAAACUCAGAUGCAGCAGGUGCACAAGGGUUUGGAAUUUACUUCCGGGGUAGGUGGUGUGCAGGGACUUGGCCCGAGGAUUGGCAUCGACAGGGUAUAACGAGGGACUUGACAUUCCUGGAAUUUUUUCCAAUUGUAGGAGCUCUGUGGCUUUGGGCAUCUGAAUGGGCUAAUACAGUGGUCCGAUUUUGGUGUGACAAUCAGGCGGUGGUGUUUAUUAUCAAUAACCUGACGUCACGCUCAGAUCGGGUUAUGGAGUUAGUUAGGGCAUUUACGUUAAAGGCCCUGCAAUUUAACGUUGUGGUGCAGGCCCGACAUGUUCCGGGCAUCGAUAACAGGAUAGCUGACGCGCUUUCACGUCAACAGAUCCAGCGUUUCAGGGAAUUGGCACCGGACGCCAGGGAUCUGCCAGAAGUCCUUCCGGCGGAGGUCUGGCAGAUUGGCGUGAAGAAGCGUCGAGAGCGAUAGGUUUGGCGCUGGCCCCGAAAACACGCAAGAAAUAUAUAGCUGCAGGUACCGAAUUUUCGGAUUUUAGGAAGGCAAUGCAUUUGGAGCAUACGUGGCCUGCAUCGGUAGAACAUCUACAG
rnacentral:lncRNA from 1 species